ACAGCUCAUUGGAAUUCUUGGCACUCAAAAUAUGGGGAAAGCUGAAAUCUUGAAAAAUGGUUUCAAUUAUUAAGAAAGGAGUGUGAUUUAGAAUUUGGUCCCUUAAUAUUAAUUUGACGUUUUGAAUAUUUCACCAUAUUUCUGGAACUAAUUAAGAAGUCAAAAACAUUUUACACACAUACACGUCGAGCUCUCGUUUAUCCAAAGUAAAAUCUACGUAAAACAAAAUAAUUAAGCGUCCAUUGUACGAGAAGCAUCUUAAUAACCAUUAUUUUAGCAGUUUUGAAGAAGAAAAAUUAAGUAAAAUACAUUGCAAUGCAAUAUGUAGAUUUUAUUGCAGUGCAUAUUAUGUUUACUGUAUUUCAGAUAGUGCUUUGUAUAAAAAUAAUUUUACUAAAGAAAGUAAUAUAAACAAUUUUUUUCUAAUAAAGUAAUUGAGAAAUUAAUUGCCUUAAAAAUGUAAUUGGUUCAUUAGUACAGUUUUAGUAUGCCAAGACCUUAAUAAUUUUUUUUUUAUUGAAGCAUUGGAUUGAAAUGCAAUCUUUUGUACUAUUCUGGGAUGAUAUGAAAUAUUUUCUUAUAGUUUCAAGAGUUACUUAAGCCAGGAUACAGAAAUGUCGACCUAACAGAAGUUGAAUUAGUUGACACAAAUUCCGGUUUAUAUGAAUUUGAAGAUCAGUUGCUAAUAAUAAGAAAAAACAUGGUAGACAGAAGAAUAGGUUGGGGUAAAAUGGCUGUAAAAAUUCCAAUUGAAGG